GAGCACCCAUCCAUCCCCCUGCACCAGGGACCCAGGUGUCCGAGCACCCAUCCAUACCUCCACCAGGGACCAGGUGUCCAGCACCCAUCCAUCCCCUGCACCAGGGACCCAGGUCCGGCACCCAUCCUCCCCUCCACCAGGGACCCAGGGCCACCCAUCCAUCCCCUGACCAGGGACCCAGGUGUCCAACGCCCAUCCAUCCCCUCCACCAGGGACC